UUUUUUUUUUUUUUUUUUUUUUGAUUUUUCGAGACAGGGUUUCUCUGUAUAUAGCCCUGGAUGUCCUGGAACUCUUUGUAGACCAGGCUGGCCUCGAACUCAGCCUCUGCCUCCCGAGUGCUGGGAUUAAAGGCGUGCACCACCACGGCAGUUUCCUUUUUGAUGCUACCCUGCAGUGCUGUUGCUGGACCCUGGGACCCAGUGCUUGUUUAGCAUGGCUCUGCAACCAUGCUAUGUCCUGACAAAGUAUCAUUUAAGACUGCUUCAAGGCUAGGAAGAUGGUUCAGUGGGUAAAGCUCCUGCUGUGCAAGCCUGAAGAACCAAGUUCAAAUCCCCAUGACAAAAGUAAAAGCUGCCUAGAAUGGUAGCUGGUAUCUGCAAUCUAGCUCCAGUGUCUAGAUAGCAGGAACCAGAAACCCUAGGCCAAGGAGUGGCCUCAGCAGGGAACAAGACUUUCACAGAGAAGGUAGUCCAUCAAGGCAGGUUUUGCCCUCUGACCCCAACUUGGAUGCCUCAGGACUCUCAUCUGGCACAACUCUGUCUUAGUAGUUCACAGGGUCUGGAGUUUGGCCAGCCUCCUCCAGCAGGGCCCCCUGGAGCCAUCCGGGACCUGCCCAUGUUCUGGGGUGUGAGGCCCAAAAACAGAAGCAAGCCACUGUUGCUAUAAGUGUUCCCUUUUAACAACAGUCUUUAUUGAUAACUUCCCAACAUCUGGAAACAUCAGGUACAAAAAUAUUCCAUUCAGUUGUUUUCUAAGAUAACUGGCCAGCUCCUGGAGAUGCCUGAUGGACCCUCAAGAAACAGUCAGGUCUGCCUCUAUCUUGAACCUUCUAUUUCUCCAGUAUUCAACACAACAGGAAAAAAGUACUCCACAGAUGGCAGGGAGCCCAGAGUUGAGUCAGCAGCUGCCAGUGGGUAGAAACAAGCUCGGCCCUCCUGUGCCCACCUAAGGUGUGGGGGACAGACGAUCUGGCUUUGGUCUCUGGGGACCUCAGAAGCACUGUUCAAAGCUGGCCCAAGCUGAGCUCAAGGUUACCUGUACUCAGCCCCACCUGGGGCACAUGUGCUGGCAUAGGGAAGUCCUGCUCUUAGGGGGAGUGGCAGGAAUUAGGAAUCCUGCCUAUGAAAGAAUGGAGCAGCCAAGCUGACCGACUGUGACCCUAGGAGGAUCACGGCUGCCCUGAGCCUUUCUGGGAUGGUGGGAGGGAGGCUAUUCUUCAUGUGUCUCUUCCUCAUCAUCUGUCUGUCUGUGGCCGUUGAUGGCAGGAGAGCCAGGUUGAAUGUGUGAUAGGUCCUCAAAGCCAGGACUUAGGGAUGGCGAGACCGUGUCAGGGCUGGUGUCACAGGAGCCCGUGCUCUGCUCCGAGGUGGCGAUGGUUGUGGUGAUACUGGGUGGGAUAGGGUCUUCAUCUUCAUCCUCUAGGAAUGAACCCUCUGGGAUGUCUGGGGAAGAAACCCCCAUGUUGGUCAAGAUUCCAGCCUUCCUUAUGGGUGGCACCUAAAAAACUCUCACCCUUGGGGCAUGACUCAGCCCACUUUACAGAGGAGGAAACUGAGACCUGGACAGAUGUAAGGAAAGUCAUCACAGGUCUAGGGUGAGGAUGAACUCAGUGAACACGCCCAUUUGUCAUCCAGUAUAGGAGACAGGCAGAGGGAACACAAGGACUGCACAUGAAGUGCUGCCAGAAAGUUUUAACACUUGAAACAAAACCAACAAAAGCCGUAGGUUGCCUGGCACAGGCAGAGAUGCUGGGUCUGGCUGUGUGUGCAUCAGCCCUGCCUUGUACUAGCAUUCUAGGUACAGGCAGAAGGAUCAGGAGUUCAAGACCAUCUUUAACUACAAAAGAAUUUGAGGCCAGCUUGGAUUACCUUAGACCAUGUCUUGAAAACAAAGCAAAGCUGAAUGGGGGUAGCACAUGCCUUUAAUCCCAGCACUCAGGAGGCAGAGGCAUAAAGAUCUCCUGAGUUUAAGGCCAGGUCUACAGAGUGAGGUCCAGGAUAGCCAGAGCCACGCGGUGAAACCCUGUCUCAAAAAGAACCAAAUUAAACCAAAUCAAACC
rnacentral:lncRNA from 1 species